rnacentral:lncRNA from 12 species
UUGAGGGAGGUCCUGAGGGAGGCCAUGAAGGAGGCCCUGAGGGAGGUCCUGAGGGAGGCCCUGAGGGAGGCCCUGAGGGAGGUCCUGAGGGAGGCCCUGAGGGAGGUCUUGAGGGAGGCCAUGAAGGAGGCCCUGAGGGAGGUCCUGCGGGAGGCCCUGAGGAGCACCACCUCUGCGCACCUGCCCUCUGGCUUCCCGCCACUCACCCUUUGUGUCAGGUCGCCCCCAUGUCACCCACUUGAGUCCAGCUUUCUCAAAAAACCACCUGUCUCACUGCAAUUCUUUUACUUCCGCUUUAGAACUUGGAUAAAAAAUACGAGCCCCUUUAAUAAAAUACCCAGUGCGCACAUCAAAACUGGAAACUAGGAGGCUGAGAGUUCACGCUCUGGGCCUCCUUAUCAAAAAAUGGGGCAGAUACACUAAAUUUGUGGUUGAAAAUUUUUUUUUUGUUCACACCAUGGGAAGCCGUCUUCAAAGGAAGUCUUGCACGAAGCAGAAACAAAGGAGGGACCUGAGAGCUGGGCUGCUCUGGGCCAAAGGGGAGUGAGUCUGAGGACCUGGGCCGCCGAGGUGGAGCUUUACGAAAGCAUUUGGCAUCAUCUCAUUGACGGGGCGGCCAGUAGAGACGGAGCCGAGGGGCCAGGUCCUCGCCCCAAGCGUGUUCCCUGAGGCUUCUCCUGGGGAAGAAGAUGGCUUCGCCGUCCAGACGCUCAUCGCUGUUUCUGGGCGCUGGGAAAGCUUCCCCCAAAGUGCGGCCCACAGACGGCCCAUCAGCAUCACCUGAGGAGCUCGCCUGCCAAUUUCCUAGAGCCCCACCCCCCCCUCCCCAGGUCUCCAGGUCACAACCCUUGAGGUGGGGCUGCCACACCCGGGGCUGCAACCAGCCGCCCAGCCCAGGUGAUUCCGACGCACUUUGGCCUCUGGAAGCUGCGGGAAGCCCUGUGGACCCUGGUUGGGCUGCGGGUGGCUCCUGUGUCUGCGGCUCUAGAUCCCUUUCCCCUUGGGGCCUUCUCUUCAGCAGCCCGAGCUCCGUCUGCCUGCACCCUGGGAACGUGCCCAGAAGGUUCGGAACGUCCGGAAGGUUGGGCCAAGGCUCGUGUGAUGUCAAGGGGAAAAUGCCGCCGUGGACGCAGCCGGGGUAACAUUAAGCCGUCCCGGCCUCCCGCGGUCCCCUGCCCACGCUGCUCUCUCCGUGACCUCUGGAUGUCACUACAGGCCAGGUUUCUGCGGCUGCCGCUGCUCUCCUUCCAGCAGCCUCCAGGUGGACCGAGGGGUGGGACUAGCAGCCCCGCUUCCUCCAGACCCCCGCCCGGGAGCACUGUCAUCCCCUGGUCUGGCCACAGCCCUGGGGGCCAGGACGGAGGGGACGGGUCCUGCCGCCACCGGGCCGGAAGCAGGGCAGGGCGCCCAGACGCCCCCCGGGGAUGCCCUGCAUCAGCAGCCCCUCGGGCAAAAGGUUGAGGAGCUCCCGCCGCGUCUUCCCCUGAGGUCAGAGCCUCUCGGGCCCUGCCCCUUCCCGCCCGAGCGGAGCGGACGCGGACACACGCUGCGGGCCUCGCAGGCCUCGGCUCCCGUGGCCGAGCAGCCGGACGGACGUGCGCCCUCGGGCCAGGCCGGGGCUCGGUCUUCAGAGCACCUCACGCUCUAUCCGGCCAACACGCAUUGGGCGCUCACUGUGCGGCCUCCACAGGCCCCGGGCGACCGCACGUGGGCUUCUCCGGGCCGCGAGCCGGGCCCCGCGCCGCGUGCAUGUCACCACUCCGGAGGCCGGAGGCCGCAGCGUCCGAGGCGGGAGCCUCUCCUGCUCCAGGGGAUGCGCCCCUGAGGAGACGCUGUGCAGGGACCGGGAGCUGGGAGGGAGCCGCCCGGGCCGGGCCCUGCUCACGUCCUGUUGCACAAGGAAGGAAAUGAGGCCCAGACGGGCAAGACCGGCUGAUUCUUGGUCUUGGCUCAGUCUCCAAACUUCCUGAAAUCCAACCCCUCAGUGAGAACGUCUUCCGCAGGCACCUGCCCUGUGUGUUGUGUGUUGGCUUGUGAACACACGCACUGCAUCACACGCUCUACUGCAUGACAGGUUAAUGAUGUGGGUGAAACCUACACUCAAUUAUGAGAUUAAAAAUACAGAUGGGUAGGAACUCCAGU